rnacentral:rRNA from 1 species
ACGGGGGGCAGCAGGCGCGAAACCUUUAAAAGAACGAAAGUGUGAUAAGGGAAUCCUAAGUGCUUACGCACUAGCGUAGGCUUUUGCCGAAUGUAAAUAAUUCGGAGAAUAAGUGGUGGGUAAGACUGGUGCCAGCAGCCGCGGUAA